rnacentral:lncRNA from 1 species
GCACAGAUAUUAUUUUCAUUGAGACAUUAAACCUGUUAUGCAGCAUCCAAGCUGUUGGUACCCAAAGAGGAAAGGACAUUUGUGACUGAGCUUAACUGAACUUAUUGCUUGACAAGGUACGCUAUGAUGGUACAUCAGAAUAAGAAAAAUCACAGUUCAGUAGAGACUUGUGAUUGUUAACACAAAGUAAAAAAAGUAAAAAGUAAAAAAUAAAUUUAAAAAAAGCCUCAAAUUUGAGUUUCUUGAUGCUGAUCUCUAUUUCUUGGGCUCUUAAUAAACUUUACAGGCUUACAUUAACAAGUGCUGACAUUACUAGAUUGUUUUCAAACAGAUAUAUUAUUUAUAACUCAGGUCUCUUAUAUCUUUAAGACUCUUUACUGCCCCUUCAAUUUGCAUGAUAUGAAGUAAAAAAGAGAUUAGCAAAGGUAGAAGAAGUGUUUUAACAAGCUUUGAUAAGAGAUAGUAAAAUAAAUGCUUUGGUAAUCUUAGCUUUUCUUUAGUUUGAGUUCUCAGACUCUUCAAGUUGAAAGAUGGGUUGGAAAAGGGAACUUAAUGGAACAGAAGGGGUUAUAAACUUCUUUGGGGCUAUUAGACCCAUUACACUAUCCUUAUCAGUUUUUUCAUGAAAUAACCUUUAUUUGCUCUUAGUUACCUACAUGGCCUCUUGUUGAGAAGCAGAGCGGUAAAAGACAGACUCAGUAACAUCUCCUGCCUUUCUAAGGAAGAGAAGUGAACAGAAAAUUAUGGAUAAAGAUCUAUUAUUCACUGCAUUAUCAAGCGGCCUGUUAGGCAGUGCUGUAGUUCCUGCCUGCAGCAAGCCUGGGAAGCUACUGGUCCAACAUGCAAGGAUCUCACCUUUGCUAACGCUUUCAGGCCAGCUGCUUUUUGUGCUUUAUGGUGCAUCUCACUGCUUUGUUAGUCAUUCCUGCACCCCCUUCAGUUCUUUUGUGCAGUGUGUUCUAAUAUAUAUCUAAUGUUUGAAGACAGUUUUUAAAACCUGCUUUUUUUUUCUUUUUUUUUUUUUUUUUCUUUCUUCCAAUUGAAUCCCCAGAAAUAUAGUGCAGAGGGAACCCAAGAUUUAGUACACUCCCUUCAAAGAUCUCUAAAUCACUACUUUUAUUUUACUCCUUAAUUCUUCCUUUCCUUCUGAGAAUAAAGCUUGCCCAUCUAUUUAACUUUGAAGACCA